GUGCCAGCAGCCGCGGUAAUACGUAGGGUGCAAGCGUUAAUCGGAAUUACUGGGCGUAAAGCGUACGCAGGCGGCUUUGCAAGACAGGUGUGAAAUCCCCGGGCCUAACCUGGGAACUGCAUUUGUGACUGCAUGGCUAGAGUCUGUCAGAGGGGGGUGGAAUUCCACGUGUAGCAGUGAAAUGCGUAGAGAUGUGGAAGAACACCGAUGGCGAAGGCAGCCCCCUGGGAUGAGACUGACGCUCAUGUACGAAAGCGUGGGGAGCAAACAGGAUUAGAUACCCCCGUAGUCC
rnacentral:rRNA from 1 species